CGGAGCAGAGAGGAUUGGUGUUGGAGCAGAGAACAGUUUGGAGGAGUUGGAGCAGAGAGGAUUGGUGUUGGAGCAGGAGACAACAGUUUGGAGGAGUCGGAGCAGAGAGGAUUGGUGUUGGAGCAGAGAACAGU